GCCGUAGGGGGCUAUCGUUGUCCGGAGUUACUGGGCGUAAAGAGCUCGUAGGCGGCCCGUUAAGUCGGGUGUGAAAGCCCCCGGCUCAACCGGGGAAUUGCACUCGAUACUGGCGGGCUAGAGUCUGGUAGAGGGAAGUGGAAUUCCCGGUGUAGCGGUGAAAUGCGCAGAUAUCGGGAGGAACACCGGUGGCGAAGGCGGCUUCCUGGGCCACGACUGACGCUGAGGAGCGAAAGCUAGGGGAGAGAACAGG
rnacentral:rRNA from 1 species